GGGGGCGCGUCGAUGGCCGAUUGGGUUGCUGCCGAUUGGGUUGCUGCCGAUUGUUGUGUGUCCAUGGGGAUAGUCUGUGCAGUCUAAGAUAAGAAGGAUUAAUAUUGAAACGACAAUCGGAAGGGUUAAACAUAAGUUUACCUGCACGGCCUCUAACAGCAGUGACGCGGCGGCUACCCCAGCUUGUGCGACGACUUGAGUGUCGAUCUCUCUGGUAGCUUGAGGGGGUGGUGCGGCUGAA
rnacentral:lncRNA from 1 species